rnacentral:misc_RNA from 1 species
GUAAGCAGCCAAAAAGGAAGCUACUAAUAAAACAAAACCAAAAUCACCUCGGAGAGGCAAACGCGUACCUCUCAACGUAGGUGCUUUUAUCUAUGAACAGAUGAAUAUACACUUGAUUUAACAAGACCUUUAGCUGUGUACUAUACUCUAUCUUCAGCCGACUCUCCACUAUGCUGUGUACCUUGGCUAAAAAAAUCGGAACUAAAAUCUGGACUACCAAAUGCGAUCCUUCGAAACAAUCUUAUUUCUGCAGAUUGAUCUGCAGAGUUAUAUAUUGUACUUUCGCCAACUUUCAU